UACAGAGGGCUCAAGCGUUGUUCGGAUUCAUUGGGCGUAAAGGGUGCGUAGGCGGCGCGGUAAGUCGGGUGUGAAAUCUCGGAGCUUAACUCCGAAACUGCAUUCGAUACUGCCGUGCUUGAGGACUGGAGAGGAGACUGGAAUUUACGGUGUAGCAGUGAAAUGCGUAGAGAUCGUAAGGAAGACCAGUGGCGAAGGCGGGUCUCUGGACAGUUCCUGACACUGAGGCACGAAGGCCAGGGGAGCAAACGGG
rnacentral:rRNA from 1 species